rnacentral:rRNA from 1 species
AUUGAACGCUGGCGGCAGGCCUAACACAUGCAUGUCGAGCGGAUGAGAGGAGCUUGCUCCUUGAUUUAGCGGCGGACGGGUGAGUAAUGCCUAGGAAUCUGCCUGGUAGUGGGGGAUAACGUUCCGAAAGGAACGCUAAUACCGCAUACGUCCUACGGGAGAAAGCAGGGGACCUUCGGGCCUUGCGCUAUCAGAUGAGCCUAGGUCGGAUUAGCUAGUUGGUGAGGUAAUGGCUCACCAAGGCGACGAUCCGUAACUGGUCUGAGAGGAUGAUCAGUCACACUGGAACUGAGACACGGUCCAGACUCCUACGGGAGGCAGCAGUGGGGAACAUUGGACAAUGGGCGAAAGCCUGAUCUAGCCAUGCCGCGUGUGUGAAGAAGGUCUUCGGAUUGUAAAGCACUUUAAGUUGGGAGGAAGGGCAGUAAGCUAAUACCUUGCUGUUUUGACGUUACCGACAGAAUAAGCACCGGCUAACUUCGUGCCAGCAGCCGCAGUAACAC